rnacentral:lncRNA from 10 species
GAACAGUCUAUGUACCUGACUACCACACAAGGGCUGUUGUAAGGAUCAAAUGGCAUCAUGAAUGGAGGGUACCAAGUCCUGCACCCAGCCUGCAGUGACUAGCACCUGCUCCCUGCUGAACAUGGUGGCUGGGGCUGGACAUGGUCCUUGGGGGUGUGAUCUGAGCAGCCUGCAGCAUUCUGGGCCUUUCAACUGCCGCAUCCUGGUACCAGUCUCAUGCUUCCUGGUACCCUACAGAUGGCUGUCUCCUGGUGGAGUCACCAGGUUGGAGGGGUCCUCAGAAUGCCAACAGAACAGAGCAGCCCUGA